CCACGCAUGUGCUGUCACUAAGUUUAUUUGGCUAACAAAGGGGUCUAGCUGAUGGGAGGAUGGACCCAGUGUUUAACAGGUUUGGUCUGGACAAGCUAGGGCCCAUGUCAUGUGCGCCUGUACCAGGCAUGGACAUUGUUUGGACUGGGCUCAUCUCAUAUGGGACAACUGUUUGAGGGGGGUUGGAAAACAACCUCAUAUCCAUUAGCGAAGCUGGACUCAGAAAUUCAACAUUAUAAUACCUGUUACACGUGAAGGGAAUGGUUUUGAAAGGAUGCAUGGCUUAGGGCCUUUCAGCACAAUAGCACAUAAUAUUGUCACUGAACAUGGAGGAAGCUAGGCAGGCGAUGGAUAUUCUUAAGAGCUGCUAACUCAUGCCAACUGACAGCUGGUGAGAUAAUGGCAAAUGUCUAACCAUGCUGUGGGGUUGGAGGCCUAGAUCUCUGAACCCCAAGGGAAGCCAGAUUACAGUUAGCCCUUCUCCCGUCGAUCACCGGCGCGGGAUCAACGCAAGCCCUCAU